rnacentral:rRNA from 1 species
AUGAACACUGGCGGCGUGCCUAAUCCCUGCAAGUCGAGCGAACGGACGAGAAGCUUGCUUCUCUGAUGUUAGCGGCGGACGGGUGAGUAACACGUGGAUAACCUACCUAUAAGACUGGGAUAACUUCGGGAAACCGUAGCUAAUACCGGAUAAUAUUUUGAACCGCAUGGUUCAAAAGUGAAAGACGGUCUUGCUGUCACUUAUAGAUGGAUCCGCGCUGCAUUAGCUAGUUGGUAAGGUAACGGCUUACCAAGGCAACGAUGCAUAGCCGACCUGAGAGGGUGAUCGGCCACACUGGAACUGAGACACGGUCCAGACUCCUACGGGAGGCAGCAGUAGGGAAUCUUCCGCAAUGGGCGAAAGCCUGACGGAGCAACGCCGCGUGAGUGAUGAAGGUCUUCGGAUCGUAAAACUCUGUUAUUAGGGAAGAACAUAUGUGUAAGUAACUGUGCACAUCUUGACGGUACCUAAUCAGAAAGCCACGGCUAACUACGUG